UGUGUGUCCCCACCAGGAGGAAGGGGGUCUUCUGGCAGUGGUGAGUGAUUUCCGGCACCCACUGAAAGGAUAUUUGGUGUUUUAAUGAGGUUUUUGUUAAUUUAAAUGGUGAAAUGGUUGUUUUUUGGGUAGUUUAAGUGGUGAAAUGGGUGUUUUUGUUCAUUUAAAUGGUGAAAUGGGUGUUUUUCUAUUAGUUCUGGCAGUGGUGAGUGAUUUCCGGCACCCACUGAAAGGAUAUUUGGUGUUUUAAUGAGGUUUUUCGUUGGUUUGUGGGGUGAAAUGGGUGU